rnacentral:rRNA from 1 species
GAGUUUGAUCCUGGCUCAGAUUGAACGCUGGCGGCAUGCCUUACACAUGCAAGUCGAACGGCAGCACGGAGCUUGCUCUGGUGGCGAGUGGCGAACGGGUGAGUAAUAUAUCGGAACGUACCCUAGAGUGGGGGAUAACGUAGCGAAAGUUACGCUAAUACCGCAUACGAUCUAAGGAUGAAAGUGGGGGAUCGCAAGACCUCAUGCUCGUGGAGCGGCCGAUAUCUGAUUAGCUAGUUGGUAGGGUAAAAGCCUACCAAGGCAUCGAUCAGUAGCUGGUCUGAGAGGACGACCAGCCACACUGGAACUGAGACACGGUCCAGACUCCUACGGGAGGCAGCAGUGGGGAAUUUUGGACAAUGGGCGAAAGCCUGAUCCAGCAAUGCCGCGUGAGUGAAGAAGGCCUUCGGGUUGUAAAGCUCUUUUGUCAGGGAAGAAACGGUGAGAGCUAAUAUCUCUUGCUAAUGACGGUACCUGAAGAAUAAGCACCGGCUAACUACGUGCCAGCAACCGCGGUAAUACGUAGGGUGCAAGCGUUAAUCGGAAUUACUGGGCGUAAAGUGUGCGCAGGCGGUUUUGUAAGUCUGAUGUGAAAUCCCCGGGCUCAACCUGGGAAUUGCAUUGGAGACUGCAAGGCUAGAAUCUGGCAGAGGGGGGUAGAAUUCCACGUGUAGCAGUGAAAUGCGUAGAUAUGUGGAGGAACACCGAUGGCGAAGGCAGCCCCCUGGGUCAAGAUUGACGCUCAUGCACGAAAGCGUGGGGAGCAAACAGGAUUAGAUACCCUGGUAGUCCACGCCCUAAACGAUGUCUACUAGUUGUCG